UAGGAUUCCAUGUUUUCUCUAGGUUAGGGUUUAGGGUUUCUCUUCUCUCUCUUUCCUCUCCUCCUCCUGUGACGACGAGACAGCGCGACGAACAAGACUCCUCUCCUCUCAGGCGCUGCUCCAUCUCAGCUAGCUCCCUUUCUCAUAUCAAUAUCAGCGAAAUUGAUGAGAACUCUGGCCGAAUAACCGAAGAGAUAGAGAAGUGCAAAGAGCAGAGUCUUGAGAAGAAGAGUGGCUUACAGGAAGUCAAAGAACAAGUUAAGAAAGCUGCUUAUGCCGUUUUAGAGAUGCUCAACAACAGAGCAUAGAAUGUAUAGGUGCUGUGUUCAGUUUAGCGCAGAUAAUUGCAUAACAAAGCCCAUCACUUCUCUGGGUUGAUGUGUUUGUGAGAAUACAAUUUCGGGUCAGUAAUUUCUUCUUUCUAUUUCUGCAACACCCAUGUAUUUAUACAUCAUUGGUUUGUCAUGAAUUUAUUGUCACAAUUUUUAUUUUGUUCAUAAAUUUGGUCCAUGGCAGUCUUAAUAUCUCUCCAGCUCUUCUCGCGUUCCUCAAUCGUUUCUCAGUUCAUACAGUGAAUUUCACUCUUGAGGUGAAUCUCCACAAACUAUUGCUUGAUACUCAUCAAUUGCUUUUCUUUUGCACCCUUUCUCUCUUUAUUUUCAUUUUUUAAUUUCUGGUGCGUAACUUUUCUGUUAUUAUGUUUCUUUAUGUUCUAGUUGUUAUUUUCAGUUUGCUUUCUGCUGAUGAUAAGCAAAGGCUGGGGAACCAGGCAUGCUGCUUUGACUGGCAUUUGUCUAACAUGUUGUUGCUAAACUGCAAAGAAAAAAAAGAACAACUGUAAACUGAUUGAACCCAUUAUUCUAAAUAUAGAAAGUCAAGAAGAAUUUACCCAAUAAAGAAAUAAAGAAAGUGGGUUGUGAAAUUGAUGAAUCCCAUUAUUCUAAAUAUAAUAUUUUGUUAACAAAUCGAACCUGGAACCUGUCGAAUGCGUCACAUAUAAUAUUGGGGCCCGCAUGUAUUACUAUUCUACGAGUCUUUUUUUUGUAGGUAGAGGUAGUGGGUGGCCAAAAAAAUCGAACCGAACAAAUCGAAUAAUUGAAUGGAAAGUAACCGAAAAAAAUAGAAUUGACCAAAAAAGUCAAAACCUAACAGAAAAUCGUACAAAAAAAGUCAGGAGCACUAGCAGGGGACUCAUAGGGGGCUUCUAGUUUACCCAAAAACAUAUCACGCCCAGCAGAGUUUGAAUUUCACAUUGCUAAACCGCAAGACAAAAAAGAAAAAAAAAAUCAGUUAUUAAAUAUAUUAAGCCAACUUUUUAAACCAACUAUUUUUAUAUAUUAGGCCCAAUCUCCUUCAAAUAUAUUAAGCCCAACUUUAAGCCCAAUUCCCUUCAAAAAGCUUAGAGCAAAAAUGUCCUCAAAAUAUAUUAAGCCCAUCAAUUAUUAAAUCACCCUAAACCCUAAAUCCCUCUCAUCUAUACUAGUACUACCUCUCAUCUCUCUACCCUUUCAUAGGGAAAGCACCCACCUCCAUCUCUCCCUUUCUCAUCUCUGUCAUCUUUUCUUCUCUCUCUCUCUCUCUCUCUGUGGAGCUACUGCUUCUCUCUGCUACAGUUCUGAGUGCAAGAAAUAAAUUGUGCAUCUGUUUAUGUUUUUUUCCCCGAAAUAAAUUGGUCUUUCCUAGAUUCUUCGUAUUACCAUGGGAGAGAAAUCUUCAACUUCCCUUCGCUUAGGAAUUAACAUGGAAAUGAUGUCACAUCAAAUUCUUCCAGGACUAUCAUGUGCUCUAAAUUUUUCUCACGUAAUUUACAUGCUAUAUAUUUUUUUUUAUGGUAAAAUUAUUUUGUGUUAGCACAUGGGGUGGCACCAUUGUGUGUGGGCCAAAAUAUGUUGAGGUAACCAAAUAUAAUAUUAGCCCCUGCCCCUCCCUAGAGAAUGACAAAACAAAACUUAUUUUGUGGGUCUCAGUUAGGUUUCAUGGGCUUCAACCAGCUCCUUGUAUUUAUAUAUGUGGUUGUAUCCUUCUGGUUGGGUUGGGAGAUUUACAGCGCAAAAAUUGGACCAUAGGAGAUGGAUUUUCUGCAUAGGUGGCUGCAUCUUGGUGCCCCAUUGUGGUUCAGCCUGAUUUAUGGCCCCCAUUGGGCUUGCUCAUAGUUGUUUUACAUGUUUCAACACCAUAUGUGGUGUAAAUCUAGAUUGCACAUUCAAAUAAAAAUUUAUUGCCAAGUAACAUGUCAAAUUAAUUGGAAUUGAAUCAAUUUGAUGAGGUAAUGCUCUUAAAACCACUGUAUAUGAUAUUUUCCUUACAUUUUUCCUGUGAUUUGUUGGUUUUGGUACCGCUCGGAUUGGGUUCCUCUAUUUUCUUAAAUGCACAUAUGAUUUGGAUGCAUAUUAUGAAGAGGUUAGUUUGGUUUCUUCAGGAAUUUAUGGACAUAAAAUGAAGUUGUUAGCUAUUUUUAGAAACAUGAAGAAUUGGUGUUCAGUGAGCAAAAAUUGAAGUUCCAAGAAAGCUUAAUCACGCCUAAACAGAACUUAAUAAAGAUGUAAAUUUGGUAGAAACAGCUACUAGAAGAUUUUGAUUUACUCUUAUGGAAGAGUUUAAUUUUCAACCACACCACUUGUUUUGUUUGACAGGUUUAACAUGUCUGCAUGUUUGCAUGUUUACAAGCAAACCAAUUGGUGAACAUGUUUGCAUGUUUUUCUUUAGUUUACUUAUUAAAUUAUUAUAUAUUUAGUACUAAUGUGAUACGACGUAUCUUUACCUCAGAUUAAUGGCCAACAAGAGGUCAAGAAACAAAUCGACACGUGCCAAUACUUCAUCAGCACAACAAGGCCCAUUAUCAU